CUGUUGAGUCGAUAGUCGCACGAGUCGUUCUUCAGCAGGCCUUGCUGAUGACUCAAACCAUCAUGGACAGAUGCCAUUGUUAUUUCAAGAAAUCUAUCUACUACCACAAAUAACGACAAAAUAGGAGAACAGCAUUGUAUAUUACAAAGGGCUUCCAAAGUCUUUGGAUCUUCUAAAAUUUGUGCAUGAAACUUGCAACGCCCAAAUAAAUAUAUUCCUCACUGAAGCGUAUCAUCCUCCACCUUCUCCUAUGCUGAAAUGGUUUGAAGACCACCAAGACAUGCUAACACUCACAUAUUAUAUUAUUCUUCCUCUUACUUAUUCACCGCUUUCCAUCACAAACACAAUUAUUAAUGAGUCGUUAUUGUUUCAAACACUUUUACCCUAAACUGCUGUACUUAAGCUAAUUUAACAGUUAUUCACCUACGACUCAUCAUGCCAAUAUUAACCGCCACAUUUCAUGUUUGUGUCACUUUAAUUGCACUCAAACGAUCAUAAUCCUCGUCGCCUCCAUAUACAUACACCCCAAUAUCAACUCAAUACUAUUCCACUCAAACCACCUUGUAAUGUAAUUCACCGUACCCCAUAGCAAUUUUGCUUGCAUUCUCACAUGCAUACAUCAUCGCACAUUGUCAAACACCUGGCUAGCGGGAGCAACCCGCCAACACGUCCGCUCUCCAUCGCAUCCCGAACCAGUCUUGAAGAGUUGAAUACAUCUGUGAAGGAAAAUGAAGAAGACAUCAACAAAACUGAAUUGGACGAAAAUGGAAACAAUUGAAAAAAGAGCGAUUGUGGAACUCAUCAAGAAAAAGAUGUUGAAAAUAUGGAAAUUGCAGCACAAAAAGAAGAAAAUAGAAAUUUCGAUAUUGAAAAUCGUAGCACAUGGCCAAUUGACAGAACACAACAUACAGUAAAUUUAUUGCUUUAGCAUGCUUCUGUACAGUUUAUUCGAUUUCACUUCCCUAAGAACGAAAAUAACAGGAGCACUUCUGCAACAUAUUUUACAAGAGUACUGACUAAUGGACAAAGCACAACACAAAGAUGGCUAAUUUAUUCCAAAUCUAAAGAUAAGGUUUACUGUUUCGCUUGUAAAUUAUUCUCCACUACUGAUAUUUAAUUGAGGACAGACAGAUUUUGCGAUUGGUCUCAUUUAUCACAGCAAAUCAAAAUGCACGAGCGAUCUGCGAUACAUUUACGAGCUAUAAACAAGUGGCUUCAAACUGAACAAAAUUUUCGUACUGACAAUCUACUUUGUAAAGAGUGCGAAAAAUUUUUAAAACUUGAAACGGUACGAUACGAACAAGUUUUCCAAAGAAUAACUGCUAUUAUUUUGUAUUUGGCGCAACAUAAUUUAGUUUUUCGAGGAAGUUCCGAUACUUUGUUCACACCGCACAAUAGUAAUUUUUUGGGUUUAAUACAAUUAAUUGCAAAAUUUGAUUCUGUUCUAAAUGAUCAUUUAAACUGAACAACCAUAAAAGGGCAUCCUUAUUUAUCGCAUUCAAUUCAAAACGAAUUAAUAAGUGCAAUGGCAAAUAAAGAACAAAAAGUAAUUAUCGAUGCAAUGAGGAGAGCAAAAUAUUAUUUCAUUUUAUUGGAUUAUACACCAGAUGCGAGCCAUCAAGAGCAAUUAACGGUUGUUCUUCGUUAUGUCGUAGCGUAACAGACGAGGAGGUUGAAAUCCAGGAACAUUUUAUCAAAUUUGAAAUAGUUCACGAUACAACAGGAAAAGGACUAUCUGAAACUAUCAUGCUCAUUAUGGAUUAGUUGGGAUUAAUAAUAUCCGAUUAUCGCGGACAAGGAUAUGAUAUGGGUGCCAAUAUGAGGGAAAUAUAUCAAGGAGUACAAGCAAACAUAUUACGUGUAAAUCCUAAAUCGUUUUAUGUACUAUGCUGUAGUCAACUUGAAUUUGUUAUUGGGAGAUAUAGCAAAAUCACCAACCCAAGCACUACAUUUUUUGGGUGUUUUCCAAAAAAUUUACACGAUAUUUGUAGCAUCGCGUUAAGAUGUUCUAAAAAAACACGUUGAAAAAUUACACCUAAACCAUUAUCAGAAACUAGGUCUGGAUAAGCCAAGAGAGAUUUUCAUCUCUGGCUAUUCUAUCAAUAGAAAGUGAAGUUGCAAAUUUAAUUUAUUUUGAUGAUGUUAUGAAAGAUUUGGCGUCGAAAAAAAGCGACAAAAAUUAUUUAAUGUUAUUAUUGGAUUGUAUUAUUAUUUAGUAUUCACCUUAUA